GAGGAGGAGGAGGAAGAGAGAGGAAGAGCAGGAAGCACACAGCUGCACAAUCAGUAAGCAGAGGCAGGGUCCAUCACAGGGGAAGCUGAGCCAGGGAGCCAAGCUGAGAAAAGUCUCACCGCGGAUGUCGACCUUGCCGGCGAUCUCCAUGGCCGUGGUCAGGUCCCACAUCUGGAUGCUGCCGUUGCCGUGGCUACUGAACAGGUAGCGGCGCGGCCGGGAGCCGAUGCG